AUUGAACGCUGGCGGCAGGCUUAACACAUGCAAGUCGAGCGGGGGAAGGUAGCUUGCUACCGGACCUAGCGGCGGACGGGUGAGUAAUGCUUAGGAAUCUGCCUAUUAGUGGGGGACAACAUCUCGAAAGGGAUGCUAAUACCGCAUACGUCCUACGGGAGAAAGCAGGGGAUCUUCGGACCUUGCGCUAAUAGAUGAGCCUAAGUCAGAUUAGCUAGUUGGUGGGGUAAAGGCCUACCAAGGCGACGAUCUGUAGCGGGUCUGGGAGGAUGAUCCGCCACACUGGGACCGAGACACGGCCCAGACUCCUACGGGAGGCAGCAGUGGGGAAUAUUGGACAAUGGGGGGAACCCUGAUCCAGCCAUGCCGCGUGUGUGAAGAAGGCCUUAUGGUUGUAAAGCACUUUAAGCGAGGAGGAGGCUACUUUAGUUAAUACCUAGAGAUAGUGGACGUUACUCGCAGAAUAAGCACCGGCUAACUCUGUGCCAGCAGCCGCGGUAA
rnacentral:rRNA from 1 species